AUGGUCGAUCUCGUACUCAUGGCCACCAUGCUCCCCGGCGUUUGGGAAGAUGACCAGGAGCUUCAUCGCCGACAUGUACAUCGCCUACAACCUCCAGUUCGAGCUGAAGCCCUCCACAACCUCGCCAUCCAGUCGUCUUCCCCGCCACGGCCACAGCGCCAUCACCAUCGAUCUCCACCACCGAUGCCUCCCCGCGGUUCCGAGUUCGUCCACGACCUCCCUUGUAACGAUGGAGCCCAGGAGCCAGACGCCACCGUCGAUGACGACUACUACUACUCGGGAGGUGCCUAG
rnacentral:rRNA from 1 species